rnacentral:rRNA from 1 species
ANUCNAGCGGAACGAUGGUAGCUUGCUACCAGGCGUCGAGCGGCGGACGGGUGAGUAAUACUUAGGAAUCUACCUAGUAGUGGGGGAUAGCACGGGGAAACUCGUAUUAAUACCGCAUACGACCUACGGGAGAAAGGGGGCAGUUUACUGCUCUCGCUAUUAGAUGAGCCUAAGUCGGAUUAGCUAGAUGGUGGGGUAAAGGCCUACCAUGGCGACGAUCUGUAGCUGGUCUGAGAGGAUGAUCAGCCACACCGGGACUGAGACACGGCCCGGACUCCUACGGGAGGCAGCAGUGGGGAAUAUUGGACAAUGGGGGAAACCCUGAUCCAGCCAUGCCGCGUGUGUGAAGAAGGCCUUUUGGUUGUAAAGCACUUUAAGCAGUGAAGAAGACUCUUCGGUUAAUACCCGGAGACGAUGACAUUAGCUGCAGAAUAAGCACCGGCUAACUCUGUGCCAGCAGCCGCGGUAAUACAGAGGGUGCAAGCGUUAAUCGGAAUUACUGGGCGUAAAGCGAGCGUAGGUGGCUUGAUAAGUCAGAUGUGAAAUCCCCGGGCUUAACCUGGGAACUGCAUCUGAAACUGUUAGGCUAGAGUAGGUGAGAGGGAAGUAGAAUUUCANGUGUAGCGGUGAAAUGCGUANAGAUCUGAANGAAUACCGAUGGCGAANGCAGCUUCCUGGCAUCAUACUGACACUGANGCUCGAAAGCGUGGGUAGCAAACAGGAUUANAUACCCUGGUAGUCCACGCCGUAAACGAUGUCUACUAAUCNUUGGGUC